rnacentral:lncRNA from 1 species
AAGGCCUGGAAUCUCUUUGUGUCCUGACGGUCUGGGGCUUUGGAGGUAGAAUGAGCUUGACUGGGAGGAGGACAUGGGCAUGAAGAAUGGCUGGAAGAGAGUGGAAGAGGAGAGCUUUUUGGCCGUGUCAUCCAGCAGAGACAAAGAGAGUAGUAGAGAAAGUGUGUGUGUGUGUGUGUGUGUGUGUGUGUGUGUGUGUGUGUGUGGAUAGGGGAGCGAAUGCUUGUUGCUCCUGGUAGGUUAGCUGUGAAGUCAUGCCUAUGAUAACAUUCCAGAACCUUGAUCCCAGGUUUGAGUGCAUCACAGAGACAACUUUUUUUUUUUUUUUUUUUUUUUUUCCGGCUCCUUUCGGUUACUCUUCGGUGCCUGGUGAUCAUACCGAGCAGACUCUGGGGAGUCAGAGAGCAAAUUCUGUUGGGAGGUGAGAUGCCCACACCAUGCCUGCCACCGCCCUGGGCACUGCAGGGUCCCCUCAAGCCUCUGGGCUCCCAGCUGCUCCCAGUGCUCUUCCCCGUGCCUCGCACAGGAAUCGUCUCCUGUUUAGAGAUUCUCCUUGGGUCCUAUGCCAGACUGAGGCCUCCAGUGUUCUUAAGUGUCUCACCUGUCGUGGUCACUGUCAGUUUCCACACAGGAGCAGAGACCCUUCCCCAGCACAAGUUCACCUCUAAACAUUGCUUCUGUUUCCUGAGAGCACAAAGCGUGUGGAUCUAGGGGAGCUGUGAUACUAGAGCGUCACGGGCCCUUAUAUGUUAGGAAUCUGCCUUGCGUAUUAAAAGAUCAAAUUGGGGAGUUCCCGCUGUGGCAGUGGGUUAAGAACCUGGCAUUGUCUCUGAGGCGGCAUGGGUUUGAUCCCCAGCCUGGGAGUUUCCAUAUGCCGAAAAAUAGGUGUAGCCAAAAAAUAAAAAUAAAAUAAAAACGCUUUGGGAAGCUGUGGUAUGAUGACCAGAUCUGAUUUUCCGGGUUUGAGAGACAUAGGGGAGUAGGCAGAACUUAACCUGGGGCAGGAGGAGAUGAGGCAGAUAGAAUGGGGAGAGUUUAGGGUCUGACUGUUUAACAAUCAAUAAGCCAAGAGGCAGUUAUCCUGUCCAGUACAAGAGAACCGGUUUCCUGGCUGUCUUACUAGGAGCCAGCUUUCCUCAAAGAGACUACCUGCCUGUUGGGGGUGGCUUUGCGGCUUUAAAAAUGCCCCCCAGCCCAGGAGACAACAGGUGCCCUGCAAAUCUGGGAGUUCUAGUCCUCACCGAACCAGCUGCCAACCAGAGCGGUCUGUGUUUCCGAAGUGCCCACAGAUCUGACUGGGGCUCCAACCACCUGGCAGGCAGAACCGACUCAAACUUGACCUUGGUGUCAGCAAAGCGGGCCUAAGGGCAGAGCCCACCUGCUUCACCGCACUUCCAGGUUGUAGCACGAGCACAAUUAAAACUCAAGCAGAUCCCAGAUCCCUCUUCCCUUUAGUGAUAUUAACUCCAAAGAGAUGCCACUGCCUGACUGCUUAGUCUUCAGUUUGCCAGAGAAGCCUCAAUUUUCUAAAAAAUUCAAAACGAAUCCUCUCCCAUAAAGGCAUAGUCCAUUAGCUGGGUUUGGUGAUAGCAGGUGUGACCCGAAAGGCUGAAGUCUUUUAGAUUUUGUACAGAAAGUUUCUCAAACUUGCCACCAUGCCAGUAGCCACUGGUAUCCGUGGCAACGUGAUGUCCACGUUGAGCAAAUUGUUGAAAAUCAUGCGUGGUCUUUGAUAUUUUUAUUUCGAUUUGGAUGACGAAAACAGAGGAACUCUGAGCGUGUCACGUUGUUAGAAAGUCCCUUUAAAGCACAGUAGGGCUGAACAGGCAUACGUAGUUAAAAGCCGGCACCAGGCCACACAAAAAUAAACAUUUAAUUUGCUGAGAAGUGUGUAUUCAAGUUAUUCAGUACCCCAGAGAAAGCUGACAGUCUGUCCUUUGUAAAACUGCCGUUGCCUGUUUUUUUCCUUUGGUUUUGUUUUUGUUCAGAUUUUUUUUUUUUUUUAAACUCUAAGUACUUUCUGAUAGCUAAGCAGAUAAGAUACAUUGCAGACCUCUAUACCAAUGUCAGCUUUUUAGAGGAGAAAGUAAACUGUCAGUUCUCGGGAAAACUUGCAGCUCUCUAGGUACCCGUCUUAAUUUGUGUAAGAGAGCAGCGUUUGCCUGUCCACAUAGAAGUGAAAGCAAGGAACAGUUUGGGGGUUUUGGUUUUUAGGCAAGAAACGUUUCAGGCAGGGUGUGUAUGCUUUCUUUGCCUUUAUUUUUCCUUUCAAAGAAAUCUCUUGUAAGUGACAAAACUGUGAAAUGGGUUUGCCAAAAAUGUUGACCUUCGUUAGAUGCUUCAAGCCGUGUAAACCCCAAAUGGAACCCUGUCCACACCUGCUCCUCGCCCUCUCCCCUGAGAGCAAGGAGCUCAUCCAACGAUGUAAUUACCAUUCGCUUGCUAUUAAAGAGCCUUCCGAACUCCGAACUCUGGUGAUAUGUGCCUCUUGUUUACUCUCUCCGGCAAGAUUGGUCCUAGAGGGCACUGAACUUGGCAGACAGGAGGAGCUGGGAAAAGGAGCCACCAGCCAGCUUUGGGGUUGCUGUUAUCGGGCCAGGAGGGAGGGCGGGGAGAGAGGGAGGAGACUCCUAGAAACACUGAUGUGAUUCAUAUGUUAAUAACUGAUGUGUUUGGAGACAUACAUCUCUCCGGAUGCUGUAGCUGGUGUUUAGUAAGUUUCCACUCUUGGAAUUUAGAUGGUUUGGGUGCUAAUUGGGAAUCCUUUAUGGCACCAGUUAGAAAGCUGUGGUCAUUCUAGAUGACAUGACACCAUUUCCCAUGACUGUCCCCCCAGUUGUUAUUCAGAAACAAUGGCAUUUAAAGUAUAAAUCUGGCCGUUGGUGCUAAGUCCUGUUAUUUGAUUAAGAGCAAGUUUCUUUCCCCACAUGAAUAGGUCUCCAUAGAUUGUUAAAUUAGAUUUGAGUUUUUUCUUAAUAGGCAUGGCCUAGAGGCUCGUGUGUGUGUGUGUGUGUGUGUGUGUGUGGUGUGUGUGUGUGUGUGUGUUUCAGAUAACAAUUCAUGCUGCUUUGUUUCCACCCUGGCUGUUGUCAGAGGUUAUAUGAGUGGUGGUGGCGGGGGGGAGUAAGCAUUCUAGAUCUCAGUGUAAGUCUGACCUCAGAGGGGCGGUGACAUGGGCUUCCUCAGACAAAGCCUUUCUUUCAAGAGAAUUUCUUUGUUCCUGUUUGUUGAGCACUCUCACAGAUAGAUAUUUUUUUUGGCUGUGCCCAUAGCAUAUAGAAGUGCCCAGGCCAGGCAUUGAACCUGUGCCACAGUAGUGACCCAAGCCAGAGCAGUGAUAAUGCCAGAUUCCUAACCUGCUAGCCCACCAGGGAACUCCCAGAAAGACUUUUAAAAUUUUAUUUUGUUUUUGGCCCACAGAAUGUGGAAGUUCCUGAGCUAGGGAUCGAACCCCCCACCCCCACCCCCAGAGCAGCAGCACAAGCAGCUGCAGUGGCCACACCAGAUCCUCAACCUGUUGCCCCACAGGAGAACUCCCAGAUAGACCUUUUAAACUGAGGACUGGCUCCUUCAUCUAAGUGCAGGGACUGGCGUUAGAAAGACCCCCAUUCUCCUUUGCAGUGAGUCUUUCCAAGUUGGAUGCCUGGGGGGAAGUUGCUAAGCCAGUCUGCUCCCUGACUGGCUGGUCACCGCUUCCCAUCCCCCUGUCUUUGUUUCCUCCUCUGUACGGAUAGGAGUGUGGACUCAUUUCCAUGUUCCCUCCAGGCACUAGCAUUGUGGGAAUGUACCCAGUCUGGAUUAGUGGGAUUAGAGCCCACGGGAAGCAAAGUUUACAGGGAAGAUACUCUCCCAGGAAACCAGGGCUGGGUGACCAACAUUGGCAAAACAAGCUCAUCUUCCCUAGGUUCCCUUUUAGAAAUAAAGACCCCUUGGGAUUUCCUGCUGUGGUUCAAUGGUAACUAACAUGACUAGUAUCCAUGAAGAUGCGAGUUCGGUCCCUGGCCUCACCCAGUGGCUUAAAGGAUCUGGGUUUGUUUGCCGUGAGCUGUGGUGUAGGUCGCAGACAUAGCUCAUAUCUGGCAUUGCUGUGGCUGUGGCGUAGGCUGGCAGCUGCAGUCCACUUCCAUAUGCCACAGAUGCAGCCCUAAAAAGACACACACACACACACACACACACACACACACACACACACACACGCGCGCGCACGCGCGCGCAAAGCAAAAGUUGAAAUAAAGACCCCAGUCGAAACAGUGGAUGCAUAUUAGCCCCCAUGAUAACAUCCCUGGAUACUUUUCUCCUCCCUUCCUACACAUCCCUUCUUUUUGUAAUAAAAAAUACAAGAUACAAGAUUAAAAAAAAAACAAAAACAAAAACAGGAGUUCCCGUCAUGGCGCAGCGGAAACGAAUCCGACUAGGAACUGUGAGGUUGCGGGUUCAGUCUCUGGUCUUGCUCAGUAGGUUAAGGAUCCAGUGUUGCCAUGAGCUCUGGUAUAGGUUGCAGAUGUGGCUCGGAUCUGGCGUUGCUGUGGCUGUGGUGUAGGCUGGCAGCUGCUGCUCCGAUUUGACCCCUAGCCUGGGAACCUCCAUAUGCUGUGGGUGCGACCCUAAAAACAAACAAUAAAUAAUAAACACAAAAACCUACAACAAAACGAGUAUUUGGGAUGCUUUGCUUGCUUAGGAAGGUAACACUUUCAUUUCUUGUGGAAAUGAGUCUCAUUUCCAUAGUGAAGUAAGGCCAGGUGGGACACCCCAUUGUCCCGGUUUCAUCGUGGACACGAAUGCAUGGAAAUAAAGUCAGCAAAGCAGAACCCACUAGCCAGUGUGUGGACCCUGCACCAGGGCCGGAGCCAGCAGGGCUGCGUGUAUGUGUGCGGGAGGGGCAGGCAGGGAGUUCCCAGUGCCCUCCUGCUGAAUCAGGGUCAGGAGCAAACAUUCCUCUCUGCCAGCCUGGCCUUCAAGAAACACAUGCUGAAAUAGCUGGCCCUCUGCCUUUCCUCUUAGUUCCACUGUGAGCAAAUGCGAACUUUGAAAUCCUUCCCUGACCUCCCUUUCCCCCUCGUUUGGAGCAGAAAACAAUGAAAUUUCUAAAACUCAGAGCAAGCCCUAAAUAGGCAGCCCGAGACUAAGGUAGGCCUUUCCUCUUAGGCAACAUUCUCCUUGUUUCCAGAAAAACAUGGCCACAACGCAGGACGUAAAAACGAAGUUUGUCCUUAGGGAUGUUUUUUAAUUGGAAGCCUCUAGAGGUCAGCACCGCAUAAAGAACCGGUUUGCUCUAUGAGCGCGUGCUGGGCGGGCUCUCACCCGCUUCCUGGUGGAGCCUUUGGGAGAGGGGGGCUCGCCGACCCCUCCGAGUGGCAUGGAAGGAGCGAACAGCCCGGCUGUGCAGAGGAGAGGAAAAGGGAGGGUCCUUUCUUUACGCAUAAACCCUGGCAUUAGACCCCAGUGGGUUUUCUUUCCUUCGCAUCCAUCUUUCUCUGCAGCUUCCACACCCCCGUGUGUACACAGUGUCAGCUCAAUAAACACGACUUACUGACC